CGCUGCGUGGCUCAGUGGUAGAGCAUCUGAUUUGCAUUCGGAAGUUCUUGGGUUCAAUUCCUGGGAUCCCCUGGUAGGGA